GACGAACCACACAAACGUUAUUCGGAAUUACUGGGCUUACAGGGUGCGUAGGCUGUGCGGUAAGUGGGGUGUGAAAUCCUACAGCUCAACUGUAGAACUGCGCUCCAAACUACCGUGCUUGAGGGAGAUAGAGGUGAGUGGAACUUAGGGUGGAGCGGUGAAAUGCGUUGAUAUCCUAAGGAACGCCGGUGGCGAAAGCGACUCACUGGGUCUCUUCUGACGCUGAGGCACGAAAGCUAGGGUAGCGAACGGG
rnacentral:rRNA from 1 species